rnacentral:tRNA from 1 species
UGCACGGAUGCCCGAGUGGUUAAGGGGGGAGACUUAAGAUCUUCUGGUUUGAUGACCGCGUGGGUUCGAACCCCACUCCGUGCAG